rnacentral:rRNA from 1 species
AGUGAACGCUGGCGGUAGGCCCAACACAUGCAAGUCGAACGGCAGCACAGUAAGAGCUUGCUCUUACGGGUGGCGAGUGGCGGACGGGUGAGGAAUACAUCGGAAUCUACUUUUUCGUGGGGGAUAACGUAGGGAAACUUACGCUAAUACCGCAUACGACCUACGGGGGAAAGCAGGGGAUCUUCGGACCUUGCGCGAUUGAAUGAGCCGAUGUCGGAUUAGCUAGUUGGCGGGGUAAAGGCCCACCAAGGCGACGAUCCGUAGCUGGUCUGAGAGGAUGAACAGCCACACUGGAACUGAGACACGGUCCAGACUCCUACAGGAGGCAGCAGUGGGGAAUAUUGGACAAUGGGCGCAAGCCUGAUCCAGCCAUACCGCGUGGGUGAAGAAGGCCUUCGGGUUGUAAAGCCCUUUUGUUGGGAAAGAAAAGCAGCAGGUUAAUACCCCGCUGUUCUGACGGUACCCAAAGAAUAAGCACCGGCUAACUUCGUG